CUGAACAGAGACCACACCAUUAAAGAGGAACAUUUUGAGUUCUCUAGGCAUCUAUGGGGGUCUGAUCCAAGCAGGGCUGUGGUCAUUGCUCCCUGGACACUGCAUUGCAUAUGAGAUAGAGGGUCUGCUAAGCCAGCUGCUGAAGGAAGACUUUAUUUCCCAGGGGAAAUUCUAGCACAUCUGGGGCACUGUGGUCCUCACACUUGGUUUGGAUUCUCUUCCUGAUGACGGACGUCUGCUUUCUGG
rnacentral:lncRNA from 1 species